UACGAAGGGGGCUAGCGUUGCUCGGAAUCACUGGGCGUAAAGGGUGCGUAGGCGGGUCUUUAAGUCAGGGGUGAAAUCCUGGAGCUCAACUCCAGAACUGCCUUUGAUGCUGAAGAUCUUGAGUUCGGGAGAGGUGAGUGGAACUGCGAGUGUAGAGGUGAAAAUUCGUAGAUAUUCGCAAGAACACCAGUGGCGAAGGCGGCUCACUGGCCCGAGUACUGACGCUGAUGCACGAAAGCGUGGGGAGCAAACAGG
rnacentral:rRNA from 1 species